GCAGGUGAGGGCAAACUCUGAGAUUUGACAUUCCACUGAUCACUGGUGUUGAUUUGGGUGAUCUGGCUGACUGGGCCAGAUCCUCUCUCAGUCUUCCAGGUGUGCCCAUCCUGAAGCUGCAUGCUAAGUUGAUGAGGAUGACCUUCGCAAUAAAGAUGAUAUUGUUCAUUGGUCAAGGGUAUAUGGUAGCUGUGCUACCCUGCUAGAACCUCCAAACAAUCUCAAGGUCCAUUUGUAGGAGAAUAUACAGCAGUCAAGCUUUCAUGACUGCACACACAUCCAAGUAAGGAGCUGCCUGCAGCAGUGUUUUUUUU
rnacentral:snRNA from 1 species